rnacentral:rRNA from 1 species
GACGAACGCUGGCGGCGUGCUUAACACAUGCAAGUCGAACGGAAAGGCCCUGCUUUUGUGGGGUGCUCGAGUGGCGAACGGGUGAGUAACACGUGAGUAACCUGCCCUUGACUUUGGGAUAACUUCAGGAAACUGGGGCUAAUACCGGAUAGGAGCUCCUGCUGCAUGGUGGGGGUUGGAAAGUUUCGGCGGUUGGGGAUGGACUCGCGGCUUAUCAGCUUGUUGGUGGGGUAGUGGCUUACCAAGGCUUUGACGGGUAGCCGGCCUGAGAGGGUGACCGGCGAGGCUGGGGGGGGGAGGCGCCACAGAGUGCGAGGGGGGGAAGGGGGGGGGAAGGUGGCGCAGGGGGCGGAAGCGGGAGGCGGCAGGGCGGGGGGGGGGAGGACGGCCUUCGGGGUGUAGCCAGUUUUCGGCGGGGAAGAGGGGGUAGGGAGGGUAAUGGGCAAAGAAGGACGGGCUAACUGCGUGCCAGCAGCCGCGGUAAGAAGCGGAAGAGCAGACGUCCAAAC